AACGAACGCUGGCGGCAUGCCUAACACAUGCAAGUCGAACGAGAUCUUCGGGUCUAGUGGCGCACGGGUGCGUAACGCGUGGGAAUCUGCCCUUUGGUCGGAAUAACAGUUGGAAACGACUGCUAAUACCGGAUGAUGACGAAAGUCCAAAGAUUUAUCGCCAGAGGAUGAGCCCGCGUAGGAUUAGCUAGUUGGUGUGGUAAAGGCGCACCAAGGCGACGAUCCUUAGCUGGUCUGAGAGGAUGAUCAGCCACACUGGGACUGAGACACGGCCCAGACUCCUACGGGAUGGAGCAGUGGCGAAUAUUGGACAAUGGGCGAAAGCCUGAUCCAGCAAUGCCGCGUGAGUGAUGAAGGCCUUAGGGUUGGAAAGCUCUUUUACCCGGGAUGAUAAUGACAGUACCGGGAGAAUAAGCUCCGGCUAACUCCGUGCCAGCCGCCGCGGUAA
rnacentral:rRNA from 1 species